GUACUCGCUUCAGCGGUACAUAUGCUAAAAUUGGAACAAUGCAGAAAAGGAUGGACCCUGCGCAAGGAUGACAUGCAAAAUCAUGAAGUGUUCUAUAUUAAU